UUGCUAGUAAUCGCAGAUCAGAAUGCUGCGGUGAAUACGUUCCCGGGCCUUGUACACACCGCCCGUCACACCAUGGGAGCCGGUAAUACCCGAAGUCAGUAGUCUAACCGCAAGGGGGACGCUGCCGAAGGUAGGAUUGGCGACUGGGGUGAAGUCGUAACAAGGUAUC
rnacentral:rRNA from 1 species